UACGUAGGGUCCGAGCGUUGUCCGGAGUUACUGGGCGUAAAGCGCGCGCAGGCGGCCCGCGAGGUGUCACGUGAAAGCCCCGGGCUCAACUCGGGAGGGUCGUGGCAAACCGGCGGGCUUGAGGCCGGUAGAGGUGGGUGGAACUCCUGGUGGAGUGGUGAAAUGCGUAGAGAUCAGGAAGAACACCCGUGGCGAAGGCGGCCCACUGGGCCGGUACUGACGCUGAGGCGCGAAGGCGUGGGGAGCGAACGGG
rnacentral:rRNA from 1 species